UCGAUUCUCAUCCUCUGUCAUGGUUGGCACUAUAAAUAUGGGUUGUCAUGGCCUGCAAUAUCAUUCAGUGUUUUGUGUUGAGACUGUUUAGAGUUUUAUGCGGUGUUCCUGAUCAUAUCCUACCGGACAUUUACAAUAUUUGGACUUUUUUCAUUCAUUAACACCACCACCACCACCACAAGGAAUUUCGUCAUCUCCACCAUCCAUGAUGCAGUCAUUCUAAACAGGACAAAAUUAAAAAGCUCCCUUCUGUUUCUCCAACUAUGUUUCCAGUGGCAGCAUAAACUGAAAAUGGAUUAUUAAUCACUCCCCGCACAAGUUUGUUACUGGUUUUACUGUCACAAAGGUAACAGAUGGGAGCUUUCCCCAAAAGAAAAUGUCACAAUAAUUUCCCUCGCAUAUGCUCGAUCAACAUGGACCAUCGAUGAAACUCUCAAUGGGAGCUCAGCACUAAAACAUUGAAUCAAUGCUGGGAUACUUCAAACGAUGUUUCGAAUUUUAAACAAAAUUUAAAUUUGUUAUUAAUUUAGGUUAAAUCAAUAAAAAAUUGCAAUAGGCGAAAAAAAGUUUGCUGGCCCAGCAGCAAAGUG